rnacentral:rRNA from 1 species
UACGUAGGGUGCAAGCGUUGUCCGGAAUUAUUGGGCGUAAGGAGCUCGUAGGCGGUUUGUCGCGUCUGGUGUGAAAAUCCAGGGCUUAACCCUGGACCUGCAUCGGGUACGGGCAGACUAGAGUGCGGUAGGGGAGAUCGGAAUUCCUGGUGUAGCGGUGGAAUGCGCAGAUAUCAGGAGGAACACCGAUGGCGAAGGCAGGUCGACUGGGACCGCAACUGACGCUGAGGAGCGAAAGCAUGGGGAGCGAACAGG